UAACACCCACCCAAAACCCCAAAAACCCCUCCUCCUCUUCACGUCUCUCCUUAGAUUGCCCGCUCGCGGCCGAAACGCCAGCCCCAUUCCGCGGCGUGGAGCCCCGAAUUCCCAAUCUCAAAACCCCCCAUCGCGCAUUGCCCACACGAGGAAGUAGAAGCAGCCGAGGAGGAGGAAGGGGGCAGGUAAGGCCGUGGUGGAGGCGGAGGGGCCAGUGCUGCGUGUCAUCGUUGCCAACGGGGGUGGAGAAUAGGAGGAGGGGGGCGACGAACGGGGACGAUCAGGUAGCAAACCCUCUCCCAUGGCUGUCUCCGAGGAAAAGGCGCAGGGAUGCCGCAGCGGCGCGGCCGCCGGCAAGGCCGCCUCUCCCGUGAAGCCCAACAGCGGCGCUGUGAUGGAGGAGAUCACGGAUUCCCCGUCCACCACCGCUAAGGCCUCGUCCAAAGGUAUAUACGGAAUCCCAAUCAUGACGAGGGCCCAGAGAAGCCACCCUUUAGACCCAUUAUCUGCUGCUGAAAUUGCUGUGGCUGUAGCAACUGGUAGAGCUGCUGGAAGAACUCCUGAAGUACGAGACAGCAUGCGUUUUGUUGAAGUUGUGCUCCUGGAGCCAGAAAAGAAUGUUGUGGCAUUAGCUGAUGCAUACUUCUUUCCACCAUUCCAACCAUCCCUGCUUCCCAGAACCAAAGGUGGUCCUGUCAUCCCAAGCAGGCUCCCACCUAGGAGGGCCAGACUUGUUGUCUACAACAAGCAAACAAACGAGACUAGCAUUUGGGUUGUAGAACUCUCUGAAGUGCAUGCUGCUACUAGGGGUGGGCACCACAGAGGCAAGGUUAUAUCAUCAGAAGUUGUUCCAGAUGUUCAGCCUGCAAUGGACGCGAUGGAAUAUGCUGAAUGUGAAGCUACAGUAAAAGAUUUCCCCCCUUUUAUUGAAGCCAUAAAGAAAAGAGGCAUUGAUGACAUGGAGCUUGUCAUGGUAGAUGCAUGGUGUGCAGGCUAUUAUAGUGAUGCUGAUGCUCCCAACCGAAGACUUGGCAAGCCUCUAAUCUUUUGUAGAACUGAAAGUGAUAGCCCUAUGGAGAAUGGCUAUGCUCGUCCUGUUGAAGGGAUCCAUGUUAUUGUUGAUAUGCAGAAUAAUGUUGUAAUAGAAUUCGAAGAUAGGAAGUUUGUCCCUCUUCCCCCACCAGAUCAUUUGAGAAACUACACUCCUGGGGAGACACGAGGUGGUGUCGAUAGAAGCGAUGUGAAGCCUCUUAUUAUCAGUCAACCUGAAGGCCCAAGUUUCCGUAUUACUGGCUCUUUUGUGGAGUGGCAGAAGUGGAAUUUCCGUGUUGGCUUCACACCCAAGGAAGGUCUAGUUAUCCAUUCUGUUGCAUAUGUUGAUGGAAACCGUGGACGUCGUCCAAUCGCUCACAGGCUGAGUUUUGUUGAAAUGGUUGUUCCUUAUGGAGAUCCGAACGAACCACAUUACCGGAAGAAUGCAUUUGAUGCUGGAGAAGAUGGGCUUGGAAAGAAUGCACACUCUCUUAAGAAGGGAUGUGAUUGCUUGGGAUACAUAAAAUACUUUGAUGCACAUUUUACGAAUUUUACUGGUGGUGUGGAGACAAUUGAGAAUUGUGUUUGUUUACAUGAGGAGGACCAUGGAAUCCUCUGGAAACAUCAAGAUUGGAGAACAGGAUUAGCUGAAGUUAGACGAUCACGCAGGCUUACUGUCUCCUUUAUAUGCACAAUUGCUAACUACGAAUAUGGAUUCUAUUGGCACUUUUAUCAAGAUGGUAAGAUAGAAUCUGAAGUAAAGCUUACUGGGAUUCUAAGCUUGGGAGCUCUAAUGCCUGGGGAACAAAGGAAAUAUGGCACAACUAUUGCUCCUAGUUUGUAUGCACCGGUUCAUCAACAUUUCUUUGUUGCCCGUAUGGACAUGGCAGUGGACUGCAAACCAAAUGAAGCUUAUAAUCAGGUGGUUGAGGUAAAUGUGAAAGUUGAAAGUUCAGGCCCAAAUAAUAUGCAUAAUAAUGCCUUCUACGCCGAAGAAGAGCUUCUGCAAUCUGAGUUACAGGCAAUGCGUGAUUGUGACCCUUCAUCUGCACGACAUUGGAUUGUAAGGAACACAAGGACAGUAAAUCGUACUGGGCAGCCAACAGGUUACAAGCUCAUACCUGGUUCAAAUUGUCUGCCAUUCUGCCUGCCAGAGGCAAAGUUCCUGAGAAGAGCUGGAUUUCUAAAGCAUAAUCUUUUUUUUUUUUUGAAACCUAAAGCAUAAUCUUUGGGUUACAUCAUACAAAAGGGAUGAGAUAUUCCCUGGAGGAGAAUUUCCUAAUCAGAACCCGCGCAUCCAUGAGGGUCUAGCUACAUGGGUCAAGAAGGAUAGAUCCUUGGAGGAAACCAACAUAGUUCUCUGGUAUGUUUUCGGGAUCACCCAUAUCCCAAGGCUCGAAGACUGGCCUGUCAUGCCAGUGGAACGCAGCGGCUUCAUGCUCAUGCCUCAUGGAUUCUUCAACUGUUCGCCUGCUGUCGAUGUUCCUCCUGCAUCCGAUGUGGACGCCAAGGAAGCUGAGACGCCAAAGGACAUCCAAACCGAGCUCAUUUCAAAGCUGUGAGCCCCGGAACCGGAGAAUCAUGUGGUUACUCCUUUGCAUUGACAUGCUGUGUACGCCCUUAUGAUACGCUGCAGCUGCCUCUUGUCGUGAGCUGAAUUCAAUGUUUGCGAUUGCUUCGUUCUUCUGAUUUUUCCUGUUUUUCUGAUUGGCGAUUAGGACUCGCACUGAAGUUGCCACUCGAAUUUUGUGUCCGGGAAUGGACAUGAGUUGGGGUACUACUUGUUCAGCGUCAGCGUUGUCUCAUCAAAAUUUCCAACCACUUGGUCACUUGCCAGAUGAGCCAGCCUUGGCUGGGCACGUCCUCAACUGCCCAGUCGACAAGCCGUCUGGCUAAAUGUCUGCAUACCUGUAUUUGGUUCCGUUUGCUUUAUUCUCAUUGCUUGCUGUAUCCCCCACAAGGCCACGAGCUACCGUUGGUCCCUUAUUAUGCGAAUGGAUGCCCCAUGCACCACCUAAGAUUUUUGGCACACUGCACCUAGCACAAGCUCGUGGACCUUUACGCUGUUUAGAUUUAUGCCCAUUUACACGUCAUAUGGUAAGUGAUGUAGAGAACCUACAAAUAGUGUACUUUUUUCUCUCUAACAAACACUUCGAAAGCAAGUCCUUAGUCUUGAGAAAUACUCGUCUAAUGCAUGCACCAGCACAAAAGUCCCCUAGGAACCUCUUUCUCUCUGUCCAGGUUCAGCUAGCGUUGGACAGUUGAAUAGUCCUGUCACGACAGCCUAUUGUCGGAGAUUCAGUAUUAGAUCUGCCGAUACAUUUGCAAAAAAAAAAAAAAAAAAAAACUUUUUUUGCGAAAAAAAAAGAAGAAAAAAGCUGGAUACAUUGACUUGAAUUCACUGAUAAAAAAAUCUGGCCUUUUCUCAAAAAAAAAAAGAUCUGGCCAUUGUACACUUUCAGUAAGUGGUACUCCUACUUACCAGCAGUUGUUCACGGCCAGCAGUAAGUUGCUUUGCAGUUCCAAAAGGAAAAAGAAAAGAAAAGAAUACAUGCUUCCUGUCAAUUUGUAACCCCUCUUUGUAACCCCUCUCGUCCCAUUUCUGAUUUUCUAGCUCUGACGUUGUGACGCACAUACUAGUGUGUAUUGUUGUUAGUGAAAAUUGAUCAGAUAGGAAUUGAACAGAGUAAAAGAGAGCAA